rnacentral:lncRNA from 1 species
AAGUAGGCAGGACUUCUGGAGGGGGCUGGAGGACAGAAGAUGAGGUGAAUAUGUAGGUAGCAGAGACCCUGUUUCAGGUGGUAGAUCCGUUUGGAUCUGCUACCAAAGGAUUCAACUAAGAAUGGCUUACAAAUUAGGAUGUUAGCUUUUGUGCCCAGCGAUUGAGUUACCAUUGAUUUUGAACUAAGUUUGUGUGGUAUUUUCCUUCAUGCGGCAGCUCUACUGGGUUCCAGAGAGAAAGGUAUGGUGACAAAGCAUAGGUUUGCAAGAAAUGCACCCCAAAAGGCCAUGAGAAUUUGGAAGCUUAAAUUGUUCUUAUAGUUAGAAGGAAAUAAUAUAGAAAUUGGGAACUUAGCAAGUCGGGUGGUGAGAUUUCAGAGCUCUGGGUGAGAGAGUAUCCACGUGAUGAGAACAAGGCCUGCCUGUGCCUUGCCAGGAAUAGCAUGGUUUGCACUUUUUAAUGUUUCAUGCUACAGGUGGUACCCAGCAUGGCAGUCAAGAAUCCACCCGAAAUUUAAGAUUCCUAGCUUAUGAGUUAAAAAUUUAGUUAGAAAUUUGGAGGUUUGGUGAGCAAAGGGGAAUACAGUCACAUGACUCAAGAGCACACAGGACCAAAGAAAGAGGGCUCUAAGGUCCCCUGCUGUAGAAGAGACAAGAUGGCUGCUCUGAGUCAGAGAGCUGGAGAAUAGAAGCUGAAUUAGCAUCAAAAUAUAAACAGCACCAGGGCUCUCCACAACAUUCAUAUAUUCCAAAGGUCCAAGAGGAGGAAAGCUAAGACCCAGUGAAAGCAAACAUUUGACAAUAUUGGCCCAGGGAAUUAAGAAAAUUGACUCAAAUUCUUAGGUUGAGAAGUAACAGCCAGAGAUUCUAAGUCCUUUAAGCACAAUGGCUGAUAGCAAGGUGAUUCUCUACAUCGUCUAAGGGAUAGCUAAUAACUGGGAUCCUCUAAAACCCCAAGAGAGCAUCACCAGCAAAAACAAAGGAAGACAACCUAACCAAGAAGACCAGUAGCCACAGUAGAAUAAUCAGUGACAAGAUUCCCAAUAACCAUUGGAAAAGGAAAAUAAUGAGAAAACUUAGAUGCAAGCAACUCUAAAAAUAGUAUUUCCCAAUGUAUCUCUCUCAGAUAAAUUGAAGGAUAUGUGAUCAUUAUUAAUUGACAAAUUGAUACUUUUGAGAUUAAAAGAAGAUUAACAUAAAAAUUAAAGGAAAAGGAGUAUAUUGUCUUGGCAUAUUAUUUGAAAAGAUACAGGUUCAUACCUUAGAUAGAAAUCCAAGAAAGAUAAAAAGACUAAACCAAGACAAGUUAUUUACAAAUCAAAUAAAUUCCAUUGCCAUCAGACUUCUCAUCUGCCAUAUUUGAAGCUAGAAAUAGUGACCUUGAACUUGUAAAUGAUGUGAGAAAAGGUGAGACCAAUCCAGAUACCAGUUAUAUCUGAAGUGGAAGAAUAUUGGUAAACAGUCACAACACAAGAGUCAAGACUUGGUGGAAGGGCACCAGGUAAGGUUAAAUAGCUUCAAAAACCCCAAAUCCAAGAACCAAAAUCUCAUAACGCAAGAUGUUGAUAUGAAGUAUUGAUGAUCAACAAGCAUAACCUAAAUCAUUGCAAAUACCUGGAAAUUUAUGACAUGACUGUAUAUAAGCCUUACCUUUUGAGGUGGUUUAACCUAAAUUGGCUGUCAACCUCUGUUGUUUCUUCUUUAUUUCCAAUGUACUGAUUUCUCCUCUAAUAUUCUUUGGUUGUGAUUUGAUGGUUCCAUUUUGUUUGAGUUUAGUCCUACUGGAGUGGCACUUGCUCUGAACAGAGUUAUCUACAAACGCAGUGAAAUACUCCUGCUUCAGCUUCCAUAGUGUCUGAUCAACUUCAGGCAGAAACAAGAAAAUUGC